AUCCUAUCACUAAAAGCGUCAUGA
rnacentral:snRNA from 1 species